CGACAGCCACUUAACCGAACCAAAACUCUGCUGCAAAAUAGACGCCUCGGAACAAGCCAACUUCCGGUCCCGUCCUGCCUUAUCAACUACUGUUAGUGUACCAAGACACGUUUCCUUACACAAACAUGCCCCAACAUUGGAUCGUCGUAUAACCACAUGACUGUCUUCGUCACUCGACCUUUCUACUAAAGCCUUGAUCACCAUCGCCCUGGACUACUCUGGCAGUGGCAGUUAACAAGGAAACACUUUGCCUUCAUUGCAUGUAAUCGACUGUAAUCAUUACAGAAGAAAUCUGCUUGGUGAUCGUAGAGACUGGCCACGAACACCAGAGUGCUGGACGUCCUGUACGUGCCGU